rnacentral:misc_RNA from 1 species
AAAAUGCGAUAAGUAAUGUGAAUUGCAGAAUUCAGUGAAUCAUCGAAUCUUUGAACGCACAUUGCGCCCGCCAGUAUUCUGGCGGGCAUGCCUGUUCGAGCGUCAUUUCAACCCUCAAGCUCAGCUUGGUGUUGGGACUCGCGGUAACCCGCGUUCCCCAAAUCGAUUGGCGGUCACGUCGAGCUUCCAUAGCGUAGUAAUCAUACACCUCGUUACUGGUAAUCGUCGCGGCCACGCCGUAAAACCACAACUUCUGAAUGUUGACCUCGGAUCAGGUAGGAAUACCCGCUGAACUUAAGC